UCUACGGGUGGCUGCAGUGGGGAAUAUUGGACAAUGGGCGAAAGCCUGAUCCAGCCAUGCCGCGUGUGUGAAGAAGGCCUUCGGGUUGUAAAGCACUUUCAGUGGGGAAGAAAGCCUUGGGGCUAAUACCCUCGAGGAAGGACAUCACCCACAGAAGAAGCACCGGCUAACUCCGUGCCAGCAGCCGCGGUAAUACGGAGGGUGCGAGCGUUAAUCGGAAUUACUGGGCGUAAAGCGCGCGUAGGCGGUCUGAUAAGCCGGUUGUGAAAGCCCCGGGCUCAACCUGGGAACGGCAUCCGGAACUGUCAGGCUAGAGUGCAGGAGAGGAAGGUAGAAUUCCCGGUGUAGCGGUGAAAUGCGUAGAGAUCGGGAGGAAUACCAGUGGCGAAGGCGGCCUUCUGGACUGACACUGACGCUGAGGUGCGAAAGCGUGGGUAGCAAACAGGAUUAGAUACCCUAGUAGUC
rnacentral:rRNA from 1 species